rnacentral:rRNA from 1 species
UUUUAUGGAGAGUUUGAUCCUGGCUCAGAGUGAACGCUGGCGGCGUGCCUAAUACAUGCAAGUCGAACGAUGAAGCUUCU